AAAGGGGUGCUAAUACCGGGUAAUAUUCCGAUCCCUUUGGAGAUUGGAAUCAAACGGGGGCCUCUGCAUGCAAGCUUCCGCCCAGGGAUGGGCCCGCGUACCAUUAGCUAGUUGGUAGGGUAACGGCCUACCAAGGCGACGAUGGUUAGCUGGUCUGAGAGGAUGGCCAGCCACACUGGAACUGAGACACGGUCCAGACUCCUACGGGAGGCAGCAGUGGGGAAUCUUGCGCAAUGGGGGAAACCCUGACGCAGCAACGCCGCGUGGGUGAUGAAGGCCUUCGGGUCGUAAAGCCCUGUCAGGUGGAAAGAACCGUGUCGGUACGAACAAUACCGACGCUUGACGGUACCACCGGAGGAAGCACCGGCUAACUCCGUGCCAGCAGCCGCGGUAA
rnacentral:rRNA from 1 species